AAAACUUUUUCGAAAGAAAAAUCUGUUCUUAUCAGUUUAAUAUCUGAUACGUCCCCCAUCCGGGGACUACAUAUUAAAUGGAUUUUUAGAUCACGGAGCUGAAGCCGGGGCUUGCUCCGUCCACUCCAUGCAUCGGCCUGGUAUUGCAGUGUCUCCAGGAACGGUGUGCUUUCC
rnacentral:snRNA from 1 species